rnacentral:tRNA from 1 species
GCGCUGGUAAUGCAAGGCGUAGCAUCUCUUCCCGAAAAGGUGCGGGUUCAAGUCCCGCCUGGCGCA